UCCUCCUCGUCUAACGUACAUUUCAGGCCGCCAUUUUCUUCGUGCCGAAGGACAGCGAAUCAGCCAAAGAAUCACCUGAUGAAGACAUGUCUGGAGGACCAACUGUCAGACGAGAGUCUGAGUUCGUUCCGCAGACGACCCCGACUGAAGAUGAGUGCAAAGAAGCAAUCUCACUGAUGAAACAUUCAGCUGAUGAGGAGACUGUCAAGAAGAAAAUGAAACUGACGUUUGUCUAUCGCCGCAACAUGGUCCUUGACUCCCAGCAGUCGCGCAACAUACUGUCCGACUUUUCACGUUUUAAAGACGUCAACGGCUUGCCCAGGAUUUCGUUUUGAUGUUUGGAGAGGAUACCUCAAGCAAGCUUCUGGAGAGGUGGCCAGUCAUGUUCAAGAAGAAGAUUAUCCAACAAUGCAGAAAGCUUCUAUCCACAAGUGAGCUUGAAGAACUCUUGCUGGCAGCUGAUCCUCCUGUGGAUGGCACUGAUGUUGAUGUUGACUUUGGGUCGGAAGAGACCAGGAAAGGUUUCGGCAUCCCAAGCAGAGAAGCAUCUUGUGGUCUUCAAGAAGACUAGAACAAACAUUCAAGAGCAUCUCGAUGCCAUCACCACCAGAGCUCAACCCUAUCUCCUGGCUGUUGGAGUUGAGAAGAAUGCAAUCCACCAGUUCUUCAUCAUUCUUGACAAGAAUGCCAUACCUUGCAGGUCAACCUCUUCUGCUUUGAUAAACUGUUAAAGGCUCAUUUUGUGUUUGGCACAUCCUACAACAGCAUGCUCCACAACAUGUACACUUUCAUCCAAACCACAGUGUACAACAUUGAUGUCAGCAAGGUCAAGGAAAGCCCUUGUGUCUCUGAAGUUAGGGCGAGGUUGCUUCAUUAGUGCUCCUCUAUCAUGCAGUGUUUUGUUUGUCAGGCUGAGUUAUCAAAUUCAAAUGUGCUUGUUAGGCAUUUACGAUUAGUUCAUGGUUACUUACCUGGAAAAAAUCUCAGGCUUAAAUGUGCCCAGACUGGAUGUGGAUGUGUGUUUGGUACGUUUUCUGGUUUUAGGAAACAUUUAAACACCAAACACACUGAGUAUAUUGACCAGGACGUUGACACCGAUGUUAAUUUGAGCAGCACAGGAGAGGUGGUGACAGCUAAUGUAGAUGAGACAGCCACAACAUCGCUGACAGCUAACAAAGAUGAGGUAGCCACAAC